AUUGAACGCUGGCGGCAGGCCUAACACAUGCAAGUCGAACGAGUGGCGGACGGGUGAGUAAUGUCUGGGAAACUGCCCGAUGGAGGGGGAUAACUACUGGAAACGGUAGCUAAUACCGCAUACCCUCGGAUGUGCCCAGAUGGGAUUAGCUAGUAGGUGGGGUAACGGCUCACCUAGGCGACACUCCCUAGCUGGUCUGAGAGGAUGACCAGCCCCACUCGAACUGCGACACUGUCCAGAAGCCUACGGGAGGCAGCAGUGGGGAAUAUUGCACAAUGGGCACAAGCCUGAUGCAACCAAGCCGCGUGUAUGAAGAAGUCCGUCGGGGUGUAAAGUACUUUCAGCGAGGAGGCGUUACUCGCAGAAGAAGCACCUGCUAACUCCGUGCCAGCAGCCGCGGUAAUUC
rnacentral:rRNA from 1 species